AUGACGGGAGUUGCAGUCCUAAACAUCUGGAGGGCGCCAAGUUAGGGAAGGGUGCUCUACAUUAUAACCAAAAGGGAAACUGUUUUUUAAUUUGCACUUCAGUACUGAGAAAAUCAUGUCAAUGACAUUCUUGAAUGUAUCAAGAUUAUGAAAAUAUGAUCUAGACAUUUCAAUAAUAUAUUAUACAUGAAAACAUGAAAAUAAUAUUCUCUGUUUUAUGUAAAAACCCAGUUUCACAUUUGCCAAAUUUUGUGUUGUUUGAUACUAUGUUUCAAUUUGCUGAAACAGUAAAAUCCAAACUGUUUACUUAGCUUUAGGAAAGUAGCCAAUUAUAGUCUGUAGGAUUCCCAGCUUUUCUCACUCUUUUGGCAUAUUCUCCUAUAUUCUCCAUUCAGCCAUGGAGCUUUAUCUGCUCCAUGGUUGGAAGGAGCAAUAUUAUUUUAGAUGCAGCUCUUGUACGUUCUUUCCUUUGAGUGAAAAUCCUAAGUGUGCUUGUUCGAUAACUGCCUUCCAAAUGGAUUUCACCCCCUAACAAUAAGAUGGGCAGUUGAGCCUACUGAGAUUGUCAGAUAUGUAGGAUGUAUUGGUUCCCCAGAGCUAAGUUGUAUGUAUGUUGGUUGCUUUAAAUGGAGACAUGCUGGAUAUGGCCAGACACCCAGUUCCUCUUUUUCCAGAUUACUCUGGACUGAGGAAAAGGUCAUUUUCCUCUAGGUAUGGAAGAGCCCUUCUGCUUUGGUAUAGAUCCAUUUGCAGGCAAUGUAGGGUGCAUGAGCAGAUGGGGAAAGAAGGCUAUUGAGUUUGUGGUUCCCAUAUGCAUGGCUAAACCACUUAGGGAUUUUAUUAUUUUAAACGGUUUUGCAAAUAAAUAAAUAAAAUAAACAUUGCUGCAAACACACGUGACUAAAAGAAAGUGAACAUGACCCAGAGUCUUAUGAUUGUCUAUGCCAAAAUAAUGUGCCUAAUACUUUUAAUCCAGGGUGGUGGUGACAAAAGUGUCCCCCUUUUGUCUUUUAAUAUAUUUGAAUAAAUUAAAGCUGAAAUUCUUAGACUCUGUUCUGUGUAAGAGUUGCCCAUAUUUCAGUGAUGGUUUCAGGGUGAGCAGUUGAAAAUAUUGCCAUAACAGCGUAAUCCUCCGCAUGUUUAGUCACAAGUAAGUCCUAGUCUGUUCAGUGGGGCUUUACUACCAGAUCAGUUUAUAGAAUUGCAGCCUUGAUAUUCCUGACUUCUAUUCUUUGAUUCUCAGUGCCAUAGAUGUGUGCAGAAUUUGGCUUCUAAAACUGGUCAAUUCUCAUGUCAAAACCAACUCAAUAAAGCAAUUUUCCUUCGCCUCUGGCAUGUUCUCUGAGAGGGUAAAUUCCCCCUACCCAAUAAUGUUUAAUUCUUAAAUUGGCUCUUUUUAGUGAUUAGUUGAAAACUUGCAUGAAAUCCUCAUUUCCUCCCUUUUCUUCUUUAUAAAUGUACAAAAUAUACCAAGCAAAUGAAUUAUAGACUGAAAUUGCUGUUGCCAAAAGCAUGGAGUAGCCACUGAGAAGAAACGUUAGGGAAGUGAUAAAGUAAAGGAGAUUCACUAAGAACAGCGAAGCUUAUAUUUAGACCAAUUUUCUGAAAGAAUCAGGGGGAUGCUUGCCUGGGAAUAUCAGUCGCAUUUCAUGUGACAAGUGGAGCUCGUUCCCCAAAGUCAAGGAACUUUCUUAAAAUAGAAAUGUUUGUUUGCAGAACAAAGGCAAAUAUAUUUACCGUAUUACGUCGAUUCUAAGACACACUUUUCCCCCCAAAUAAACAUCUCUAAAAACGGGGUGCGUCUUAGAAUCGCGGGUGCGUUUAUUAUUUCUUAGAAUCAAAGCUUUUUUUCUGCUGGUGGUUCUGAAAUUAGUGUGUGUCUUACAAUCGAUGGUGUCUUAUAAUCGAAGAAAUACGGUAUUUCAAUCUUUCUCCCUGUGUUCGUGUGGAAUAGUUCUGCGUGCAGGAAGGUGGAUGGAGUGGGGAGGAAGAAAUAGAGCAAGACUCACACUUCAGUCUGUUUGGUUUACCAGCUGAGUUUGCCCAGUGUGGCUCCUGGAACUCAGCUUGUACACCAGACCAGCUCAGCUGCUGACAGGCUUAGAUUUUGAGCCUGAGCACAGGCCCCGAGCCUCUUGAAUUGGCCAAAGGCUGACUGAAGGUGAAAAGUGUGGUGUAGUGGCUCAAGUGUUGGACUGGGAGCCAGGAGAUCCGGGUUCUAGUUCCGACUUGGCCAUGGAAACCCACUGGGUGACUCUGGGCCAGUCACAGACUCUCAGCCCAACCGACCUCACAGGGUUGUUGUUGUGAGGAUAAAAUGGAGAGGAGGAGGGUUAUGUACGCUGCCUUGGGUUCCUUUGAGGGGAAAAAGACAGGAUAUCAAUGUAAUAAUAAAUAAAACAAGACUUCUUCCCAACCUGCCUUGUAAACAAAAACACACACACAACAAAAACACUUCCUGUACUGUGUGAAGCUGGCUGAGGGAGGAAAAGAAAACUGUACAGAUUUAGGGCCCAACCCAGCAGACCUGCUACAGACUGGUGCAUUGCCGCCUGGGCUCCCACUUUUCCCUCAGUGUGGGACCUCAAAAUGCACUAGGAGAAACCUUUCUAUUGCUUAGUAAACAAACAGCUUUUGGGGUCUAAUGGGCUGUCAUGACUUUUAUUUUAGAGUACAACAAUAAAUUCCCAAUCCCCCUCAGCCGUCCUCCCACCCCGCCACUGCUUUGUCCCCGGUCCCCAAGCAGCAAUAGACCCUUCACUGAAGCUUUUCUUCUUUACCAUUUUUAAUAUUUCAAUUUUAUAAUAGCAAAGAGGAAGAACUGAAACCACAUCACCGGUUCCAGGGUCACUGAAAAACUGAAGCGGGUGUGCUUCUAGCAGACAGUUUUCUACUUCUGUCUAGUUUUUUAAAAUCAUUUUCUUAUAGAGGGCAAAAGAGUGUGUGUUAUGUAUUGCGUUGGGUUUAAAGAAAUCCAGUGCUUCUGGUAUGAUGUUAAAUAAAAGCUUUUGACUUAUUUC